rnacentral:lncRNA from 1 species
CUGGCGCUGCUCUUUGACAAACGCAACGCAACGCGACGCGACGCGAGUGAGCAGUCAGGCUGGCUUUUUGUUGUUCCCAAAUUACAAAAAAAUAAUAAUAAUACAACGAGUGAAAUAAAAGUGCAAUUUCCACAUGGAAUAAACCUAUUUUUCUACGAAUUUUCCACACACAAAGCUCGAGCGAAGCGAAACAAGAGGCGAAACAGCAAUCCACGAGAAUUUCAGCAAUUUCUAGUUCAAGCAAAAGUCAGGGGGGAAACCUGGAAAAUCGAAAGAGUCGCGAGAUUAGAAAUUUUGCGGCGUGCGUGUGCGUGCGCUUGAGUGUCUGCGUGUGUGGUGUUGUGUGUGUGUGGACCGUGGGACGUGGACGUGGACGUGAACGUGGAGAAAGGACAUCGCGUCGCCAUGCUAGACGCACGCAUGUUCCCUGUGUUUGUUGUUGGUGUCCUGGUGUCGUCGCCACGUUGCGCGUGGAACUGUCUCUCGUGGUCUUCGCAUCCCGGCCGCUGCUCCUCCUAGAGCCCGCACCGAAUCCCAGCCAGCCAGUGCCCACGCCGUGACCGGGACAUGGAAGCAGCGAAAAGUGUUCCCACAAAGUGUGAAAGGAAGCGCGCCACCGGAGCAGGAGUCGUGCCCAGAGGAAAGAAGGACUCCCGUUAGACGUAGACGUUACCCGUUAGCCCCGUAACCCUCUCCCCACGCCCCAAGCUCCGCGGCCCCCUCUCCCAAAAGUUCCGUAGUGUUUUAGUUGCACGCUCUCGCUCUCGCUCGCUCGCUCGCUUGCUCUCCCGCGUGCGUGUCUCUCCCGGUUUGUCCCGUCGUUGUCGCUCUCUCUCCCUCUCAGUGCCAUCCUUCCGCUCUCGCGCUGCCACUGUGACAGUGCUCUCUCUCUCUCGCGAAUUUGACAUGUUUAUGUUUUGGGCGCUCUCCGAGGCAAAUUUUGACAGCUCGAACUGUCGGUGCACAGUGGAAGGAAACGCAAAGAUCCCGCGAAAAAACAUCAUGCACAAACAACAUGUCAGCGAAGCAUGAUAAAAGAUAACGAACGUCAAGACUCACUUAAUGGUUCCUAGUUGAUACUAAACUGAUACAAAGAGGAGGACAAGACACUGGACUCUGGGACUGAUGAGGCGGAUUUCAAAUUGAUUGGUAAGUUUCAAUACUAACCAACUAAAAACUCCACACUCAACUUCAGCCAUCUUUAUGAACACAUAUGUACAUGGGAUAGAUAUAUGUAAUAUGUACAAUUAUCCCCCACCAAAGUUGCAGUUGAUGCCUGACAUUAUCCAAUAUUUAUCAAGCACCAGGGCAGCCGCAGUACACAAUCUAAUUUAGGAGGAGCACGGCCAGGGCUUGGUGACAAUUUUAAAUCAAUUUGCUUAUUACAAAAUGCCAUCGGUCGUGUCUGGGCCAGAUCCCAAAGCCCUGGAGGCCAACACAACACGCAAAUAUGCAAAUGCUGGCUGCAGAAAGCCAAAAUGCAGAAUGUCGGAUGGCAAAUGUCGAUUUGGCCAAUAGAAAUGCCCACACACAUUUCGUACUCGUAUGUACAUAAAUAU